UGCCUUGGAUAUAUGGAUGGUGGAUAUAUUUUUUUUCAACCAGAUGUACCCACGUCCCGUCGUCUUUUGAUGCGCUGAUAUGGAGUGAUGAAGCAUCACAAUGGAGUGCUAUGAUCACAGACAACGCUGUUUGUUGAUGUUUGUUCCCCGGCGGUUCACAACUGGUCCUGGUGUCCUGGAAGCAGGGUGCAAUGGCCUGCUUUGGCCUGUAGGGGGCGGGAGUCCUCUGUGGCUGCCUGGCGCGAUGAGGCAGUGGGCCAGCGGGAGUUGCGAGGGCAGGAGGCUGCGGCAGUCAUCUCUGGUUUCUGGCUGUGUCAUCAUCGACGGUAAAUUCCCCCCCAGUCUCCUUGGGAGUUGAACCUGCCCCAGAUUCUUCAGUUGAAAGCACGGGAACUCCUCUCUGCUUCUUGCUACUGUAUCACAAGACCUCUUGCCCUGCCUGUGAAACGACGCUCCUCCACAGAAAGCCUGUUUAAAGGGAGAUGAGGGCUGCCGGGUAUAAACAGUCCCAGUGGCAGAUACCUUGCAAACACCUAACCACCGUGGACCGUCAUCUCAGCUGGGAACCGCCCAAUCUGAACCGUCAUCUCAGAUGGGAACCACCAAAUCUGAACCGUUAUCUCAGAUGGGAACCACCCAAGAAUGACCGUUAUCUCAGCUGGGAACUACCAAAUCUGGACCGUCAUUUUAGCUGAGAUCCACCCAAUCCGAACCGUCAUUUUACCUGGGAACCGCCCAAUAAGGACCAUCACCUCAGCUGGGAUCCACCCAAUCUGAAUCGUGAUCUCAGAUGGGAACCGCCCAAUGAGGACCAUCAUCUCAGCUGGGAACAAACCUGAUGAAAGUCUAAGACAGAAACGUUGUGUAUUAAAGAAAACAACGAAAUAGUCAGUGUGCUGGAGUUUUUUUCAAAUUGUCAAACCACCCAAUUUGGACAAACCUUUUAUCACAGCUUGGAACCACCCAAUCUAGAUAGACUAGUCAGUACAGAACCAACAAGUCUGGACAUCCCAUGGCAGUCACUGUGGAGAGCCACCAACUCUGAAGAGUCCACCAAGUUUCGAAGACUUUCUAUCUGCCUUUCUCCUUGGCAUGCCAACGGAGAUUUUUUUUAAAACAAAUUGUUCAAUUCAAUGUAUUAAGGACCAAUUGCAACAUAUGUGUCGCCAUUUCAUGCAUAGUACCAGAGGUAGCCACAGGCUGAUUUACAUCUGCAGUCCAUAAAAUCCACAGUCCACAAAGCAUCAGAAAUAUAGAAACACACACACACACACACACACACACACACACACACACACACACACACACACACACAAUAUAGAAACAUUCAACAUAAAAACAUUAAAGCAUUCUGUCAGCAUCAUAGAUCAUAGGUUGCGGUUUUGACUGUUUUUCAAUGAACAUUAUAGCUGCUGAGGAGCAAUGGACUCCACAGUCGGCCUCUCAUAGCUCAUUGCUUCACCCUUACCUGUGUCCACUGCAUCUUCUUCUCAGCAGCUUGGUCUAACCAGGCUCCUGCUUUUAUUUACCUCUAGCAAAACAAAAGCGAGAUGGCCAAUUUUAACUCUAGGACAUACACACCCCAGGGCAGGGCAAACGAUAAGCAGGUCGUUGUUGAAUUUUCAUGAAUAUUGUUUUGUUUUGGUAUUUAUUUUUGUUUUUUAAUAGUUGGAAACGGUCUGUUUCAACAAAGAGUAACAUUGCACAUUACUCUGGGUUCUAACAUUGUCGGGUGGAUGUUUAGCCAGUAUUUUAUUUCUGUUUGAAGCUCAGCAGGACUUCUUCUUCUGUACAGCCAAGCAAGUCUUGAGAAUUUUAUCAUUUUGUUUUUUUUGUUUUUAUUUAUUGAUUAACCUCUAAAAUUUAGAGUCACGUUGCAAUUGAAUGUUUUUGUUGUUGUUGUUGUUGUUGUUGUUCUGAGCUACAUAUAAUUUACACAGGUCAUGAUGAGUAACACGGCAUCCAAUUGUAUGCAGAAUCGAGUGGAGGGGAGAAAAAUACCAAAAUGAACAGAUUUGAUUCAAGUGAAGGAAAAAAAGGAUCAAGUCGGGACUUGGAUCUCAUACACUAAAUUCUUUGCCCUUGACUUGUAGCAUACCUGAGGGAUUGCCUCAGUGCAAUGCCCUGUGUGAGAAACCAAGCGUGGGUUGGUUGCUUGCUUGCUUACUUGCUGAUGGCCAGGCCCUCGCCCUCUCUAGACCUGGGACUGGUGCACACAGACGAAGCCUCAGCACACCUCUCCGAUAUCCGAUCACCUGCCCCGGGCCACCAGGUGACUCACCUGCACACACUCUCAUCACGUGCGCAGACAGGCACCUGCCGCCCACCUUAUCCUCUCCUCCACACAGCACUGUAUCAGCCACGUUCAAUGGGGAAUUCUUUUUCUUUUCAGGAAUGUGGGGGAAAAUCCACAUCUGACCGCCCACCCAACCCACACACACACACACACACACACACACACACACACACACACACACACACACACACACACACACACACACACACACACACACACACACACAGCCCUGUCAAGAAGUGUACAUAGAUGUAUUUAGAAUGACUGUACAGACAGAUUUGUAAAUAAGAGGCUGCUACAAUUGCACAGGUACGGUAGAUUGUGUGGACUUUGGGUAAUGACAAAGCCGUAAUUGUCCCAUGGACUCGGGAGACGCAUUUUAAAAAGAAAUGCAGACACUUCACAGAAGGCAACACUCACAAUAUGUCUCUCCAUCUUUCAUACACCCCCUCAGAUAUCUUUCUCUCCCUCUCUCUCUCUCUCUCUCUCUCUCUCUCUCUCUCUCUCUCUCUCUCUCUCUCUCUCUCAUACACACACACACACUCACACACACGCAAUCUGAUACAGAAUACGGGAAAACUGUUGAGAAAGAGGUUCCUCUGACACAGUUGUUGCAGCACACUUAUUUAAACAAUAAAACAAACCUUUUAUGUA